rnacentral:snRNA from 1 species
UUAGCUUCUCGGCCUUUUGCUGAGAUCAAAGUUUAGUUUCUGUUCUUAACGAAUUAACCUUCGAUAGAGAUUCGAUUAUAUCAUUUACAAUUUCCUCCUAUACUACUA